rnacentral:rRNA from 1 species
CAGCGCCGCGGGAAUACGAAGGGGGCUAGCGUUGUUCGGAAUUACUGGGCGUAAAGCGCACGUAGGCGGAUCGAUCAGUCAGGGGUGAAAUCCCAGGGCUCAACCCUGGAACUGCCUUUGAUACUGUCGAUCUGGAGUAUGGAAGAGGUGAGUGGAAUUCCGAGUGUAGAGGUGAAAUUCGUAGAUAUUCGGAGGAACACCAGUGGCGAAGGCGGCUCACUGGUCCAUUACUGACGCUGAGGUGCGAAAGCGUGGGGAGCAAACAGGAUUAGAUACCCGCGUAGUCCCUGUCUCUUAUACA